CAAAAUGAACGCAGCUCCAAUAACGGACAAAGUCAACGACUAUUGAAGAUGCUGCAAGAAGUAACGAAAAUUUUAGAAAAAAAUAUAAUGUAGGCACAGUUUCUUCGCUUCAAUAUUUUCUUCUUUUAGCUGCUUAACCCAACAACGUUGUGAAACGAAAUGGUCGUUAUCUUGAAAGAACACGAACAGAGAGCCUGAAGAAUUACUGGAAAUAGCGACAAAUCCAUGGAGGCUGACUGAGUGAAGACCGCCCAGAAAUCCGUGCGUCCACGAACUGUUACUACAGAAAAUUAUGAGAU
rnacentral:lncRNA from 1 species